GAAAUGCGAUAAGUAAUGUGAAUUGCAGAAUUCAGUGAAUCAUCGAAUCUUUGAACGCACCUUGUGCUCCUUGGUAUUCCUUGGAGCAUGCCUGUUUGAGUAUCAUGAAAUCUUCAAAGUAAAUCUUUUGUUAACUCAAUUGGUUUCUACUUUGGUAUUGGAGGUCUUUGCAGCUUCACACCUGCUACUCUUUGUUCAUUAGCUGGAUCUCAGUGUUAUGCUUGGUUCCACUCGGCGUGAUAAGUUAUCUAUCGCUGAGGACACUGUAAAAGGUGGCCAAGGUAAAUGCAGAUGAACCGCUUCUAAUAGUCCAUUGACUUGGACAAUACUUUUAUGAUCUGAUCUCAAAUCAGGUAGGACUACCCGCUGAACUUAAGC
rnacentral:misc_RNA from 1 species